UGGGGAAUUUUGGACAAUGGGGGAAACCCUGAUCCAGCCAUCCCGCGUGUGCGAUGAAGGCCUUCGGGUUGUAAAGCACUUUUGGCAGGAAAGAAACGUCAUGGGUUAAUACCCCGUGAAACUGACGGUACCUGCAGAAUAAGCACCGGCUAACUACGUGCCAGCAGCCGCGGUAAUACGUAGGGUGCAAGCGUUAAUCGGAAUUACUGGGAGUAAAGCGUGCGCAGGCGGUUCGGAAAGAAAGAUGUGAAAUCCCAGAGCUCAACUUUGGAACUGCAUUUUGAACUACCGGACUAGAGUGUGUCAGAGGGAGGUGGAAUUCCGCGUGUAGCAGUGAAAUGCGUAGAUAUGCGGAGGAACACCGAUGGCGAAGGCAGCCUCCUGGGAUAACACUGACGCUCAUGCACGAAGGCGUGGGGAGCAAACAGG
rnacentral:rRNA from 1 species